rnacentral:rRNA from 1 species
AACGAACGCUGGCGGCAGGCUUAACACAUGCAAGUCGAACGCCCCGCAAGGGGAGUGGCAGACGGGUGAGUAACACGUGGGAACCUUCCUCGUUGUACGGAACAACCCAGGGAAACUUGAGCUAAUACCGUAUACGUCCGAAAGGAGAAAGAUUUAUCGCAAUGAGACGGGCCCGCGUCGGAUUAGCUAGUUGGUGGGGUAACGGCCUACCAAGGCAACGAUCCGUAGCUGAUCUGAGAGGAUGAUCAGCCACACUGGGACUGAGACACGGCCCAGACUCCUACGGGAGGCAGCAGUGGGGAAUCUUGGACAAUGGGCGCAAGCCUGAUCUAGCCAUGCCGCGUGAGUGAAGAAGGCCUUCGGGUUGUAAAGCUCUUUUGUCAGGGACGAUAAUGACGAUACCUGAAGAAUAAGCCCCGGCAAACUUCGUGCCAGCCGCCGCGGUAA